UACGGAGGGCGCAAGCGUUGGUCGGAAUCACUGGGUGUAAAGCGCGUGUAGGCGGCUUAGCAAGUCGGAUGGGAAAUCCCGAGGCUCAACCUCGGGACUGCACUCGAAACUGCUUGGCUUGAGUCCCGGAGAGGGUGGCGGAAUUCCCGGUGUAGGGGUGAAAUCCGUAGAUAUCGUGCGGAUCACCUGUGGCGAAGGCGGCCACCUGGACGGUGACUGACGCUCAUACGCGAAAGCGUGGGAACCAAUCAGG
rnacentral:rRNA from 1 species